UUCCGGACCAGUUCAGUUUUUAAAGCAAGUUAGUAUAUUGAGGCCAAGCUUGGAUGGAUUCCAGUCGCUGAUCAACAGUCAUAUAAUUAUGGCUCAAGGUACAGAUGAUAAUGUCAUGGACACCUCUCCUGAAUCAUAUGGAGAUUCAGAUUAUGUAAUGGACGCUUCUGCAGUUUCAUAUAAAAAUUCAGAUUAUGUCAAUCCUCCAGUGACACAUCAAUAUACAGACGACAUUAUAGACAAUCCUCAUGAAACAGAUCAAGAAGCAGAUGAUGUCUUGGCUCCUUCUCCAGCAACACAUCAAACUCCAGAUAAUGUGAUGGACAAUCCUCCAGUGGCACAUGAUGAAAGAUAUACAGACAACUUGAAUUAUGACAAUCAUGACUCAGUUGUGACAGACUCAGCCACUAAAAUAGAAUUUUAGAUGCAACCAACUCCAGUUCCUUUAAUAUCUCUUGAUCAAGACCUUGGUGUAAACACUCCAGGAACCUCAAAUAAAGCAUGUGAAGAAUACGAGGAUAAAGUGAAGCCAGUAGAAGAAUUGAGUAACCCGA